rnacentral:lncRNA from 1 species
CCAAUGAUAGCUGAAAAUGUGGGAUAACGUAUUUUGUGGUUAGAACAAGUCAUAAUGUCCUUAAUCCAUGAAUAAUUAAUCUUUGAAUUUUUUGUAAUAAUGUAUGUAUAGCUUGGGAAUUUUCUGUAGAUCCAUUUUCAUUUAGUCGUUUUAGCGUGGGUUCUACGAAUCUCUCUACACAAUAAUCCUACAUAAGUAUCCCUUUUAUCCUCUUCCAUAAAUAUCCCUUUUAUCCUCUUCCAUAAAUAUCCCAUUUUCUCUGAAGCAUGGAUCCUCAUAUUUCAAAUCAAAUUUCUCAGAAGAAUGAAAUUGUCAGGUCGCGGAAAGAACGAAGCUGGAUGAGAUUAGCAAGAAGAAGAGGAUAAGUAAUUGAUAUAUUGAACUAUGUAAGUUUGUCUUCUUACUUGAGAGUGGCUAGAGGUAAGUAUCUUCUUCAUCUGAGUCUUCAUGAAGAUAAUUAUGAGAAGUCAAGUAUCUUACUACCAAUGCCCCAAUUUUUCUCCCGUUAUCCAUUAAUUAUUUUCUCCAUAAUUUUACUGCUUUAUUAGCUCUUUGAAUAAUGUUCACACAAUUCUGACGCAAAAGUGUAAUAGAGGGGCUUAGACCUAAGUUUAACGUAAACAAUUAGUUUAAGCUUGUUCUUCUGUAUUGAAGAGGGGGAUUAUCAGUAUCCGAGUUGUCUUCCUUGAUUCAAGCAAUAGCCAACCUUGGAGAGUUGUCAGAUCUUGGGCUGAACCGGGCAGUCACUAGCCUUGGACCACAUUGAGUGGAUACCUGAAAAGGGAUUCCAAGGUCAAGUAAGUAUUUAUAGUAGUAUGUUUAGAGAGAGGGUAGAUAGAAUACAUUGCAUUUCCUUUACGAGUGACUUUACCUAUUUAUUGUGUGGGGUGCGGUGCAGUGGACUGCACUCAAAGAGGAGGUAUCAUCAUUGUGGACGAUACGACCUUAUCCUUUUAUCAACCUCAAACUGAUAAUGCUAUGAAUUUGGACUAUCUCUAUCGUGUGGACAAAGUGAACCAGUACACCGCUCAUGUGGGGCAUCCUUGCCUUUGUAUGAAGGAAGGUUCUUCGGCAUAGCAGGUGCUGACCUGUCCCGUCGCCGUCGUCCUUUCCCUUAGCUAGGCUGGUCACUCGUAUGAUUGACAGUCGUGUAGGUCAGAUCUUGUCUGUCUGUGUAUGAUUGACAAUCGUGUAAAUCAGAUCUUGUAUGGAUCUUCUAUACGCAAGUGUUAGCCUCUGACUGGUCCUACCAUUGGGAUGGAACAAAGUUAAUCGACAUGUGAGCCACAAUAUUUUUAACAAUAGUUUUUUUAUUUUAUAUUUAGCUAUAGUUUUGUACAUAGAACUUGUGAUUUGGUUUGCAGUUGCACUAAUAGACAAUGAUAGACACUGGCAUCUAGGUAAGAAGAAUUAGAACAAAAAUGAAAGAAAUGCCCCUAACCAUUAGUGAUCAUAGAGAUGGCAGCAUACAUUAAUUUCCUAGACAGUGCAUCAGCAACAGGGUUUUCACUACCUAGUUUAUACUGUAUAUCAAAAUCCAGACCCACCAACUUAACUGCCCGUUUAAACUGAUCAUUAGAAAACAAUCUCUGUUCUGUCAGAAACUUCAAACUCCUCUGGUCAAUUCUGAUAAUGAAAUGUCUGACCAUAAGAUAGUGUCUCCAUUUCUGUAUAGCUUGAACCAAGGCCAUUAAUUCCCUCUCAUACACAGACUUUUGUUGGGCCUUAAGAGAGAGCCCCUUGCUCUAGAAGGCUAGGGGUCUUCCACCCUGCAUCAACACAGCCUCUAAUCCCUUGCUAGAAGCAUUAGUUUCUAUAACAAAAUCCUUAUUGAAAUCAGGAACAACCAACAUGGGUAACUCAGUUAUAACCCCUUUCAACUUCCCAAAGGCAGCAUUGGCUUCCUCAGACCAACAAAAUGUAUCUUUUUUAAGCAAAUCAGUGAGUGGUCUAGCUAUUCUACUAUAAUCCUUCACAAACUUCUUGUAGUACCCUGUAAGUCCCAAGAACCCUCUUAGUCCCUUGAUAUUGGUAGGAUCAGGCCAAGAUUUCAUGUCCUCUACCUUAGAAAGAUCAGCAGAUACCCCCCCCCCUUUCAGAGAUUACAUGCCCUAGGUACUCAAUGUUGGACUGACCAAAACUACACUUCUUUGGAUUAGCUUUGAGGGAAUUCUGCAUUAGUAUGUCUAGGAUUAAUCCUAGAUGUUGGCAAUGGGAGGCUACAUCAGGGUUGUACACCAAAAUAUCAUCAAAGAACACUAGGGUAAACUUUAUGAGAUAUGGCUUCAAUAGUUCAUUCAUGAGGGAUUGGAAGGUAGAUGAGGCAUUGGUUAGCCCAAAGGGCAUGACCAAAACUCAUAGUGGCCCUCAUGAGUUCUAAAAGCUGUCUUUUCUACAUCCUCUGACCUCAUCCUCAUAUGGUGAUAUCCAGAUUUCAAACCCAAUUUAGAGAACACCCUGGCCCCUCCCAAUUCAUCCAGUAAUUCCUCAAUCAAAGGUAUGGGGAACUUGUUGGGAAUGGUUAUCUUGUUAAGGGCCCUGUAAUCUACACAAAACCUCCACCCUCCAUCCUUCUUUUUAACUAGGAUUAUAGGGCUAGAAUAAGGACUUAUACUAGGCCUAAUAACCCCAGCUUCCAGCAUCUCAACUACCAACCUCUCCACUUCUGAUUUCUGGUAAUAGGGGCACCUAUAUGGUCUUAGAUGAGGGAUCUCUGCUCCUUCCUUCAAAUGAAUGGCAUGGUCUUGCCUUCUAGUAGGAGGAAGGCCUUGAAUAUCCUGGAAAACUGAUUGAAAUUGCUGUAAUACUUCCUCUAAUUCUGUUGGUAAUCUCCUCUCUGACCUAGUUGGUGUGGACACAUCACACUGCAACAAUAAUCCCUCCCCCUCCUCCAUUAGAACUUGCAUAAAAGACCCCAUUGAUAGCUCAGCCUUAGUUAGGGCAGGAUCCCUAAAUAUAGUGAUGUUUGUUCCCCCUUUUUGAUAGAUAGUUUCAUUCUACCAAAAUCAGCCCUUACCUUCCCUAAGCUAGCCAACCAUUCCAAGCCUAAAACCAUGUCCACCCCUCUUAAUUCAAACAGAUAAAAGUCUUGAAUUACCUCAAGUUUCUGCAUGAAAAGUCUGAGCUGGGAACACUUGCCCUGGCAUUGAUAAGGCUAGGGCUAUUCCUAAGCCUUAUAUUAAGCACGUGUAUACAAGGGGUAAGAGAAAUGUAGUUAAAUGGUAGUUGGUAACCACUUUCUCUUUGUAACAGUUAGUUAGUUAGUUAACUGUAAUGAUUAGCUAUAAAAGGGGUAGUGGUAGUUAUUGGAAGAUAGGAAAAAGUCAGUAAAGGGCACUGGUUGUGGAACCAGAGGGGAUCGUGGGAUCUAAAGUGUAAUCUUGCAACUAUUUCUGCAGUAUCAACUGCUACCUAAUAAACAAGUUAGAACCCUACCACAAAUCACUCAGAUUGUGGGUUAGGGGCUUUUCUUUUCAUCUAUUCUUCUAUUUUUCUUACAAUUGAUACCAGUGUCUAUCACUGGUAUCAGAGCACCGUUUCUGGUGCCUGAGGGGGAGGGACUACCACCAUCGUCGUUGUGUUCUGCGCAUGGUAUCUACUAGAAGGAUGGCCAAGGAGAAUGAUAGUUGGGUGCAAGAAAGGGAUGAGAUGCGACAAGAACGGGAAGCAAUACGUCUACGCCUCGAGCUCAACGAGGCACGUACCAAGAAAACUGAAAACAUAAUGGAGGCAAUUGCGAUAAAGCUGGGCAUUUCCAUGGGAGACGACUCUGUGGGGGUAGGCAGCGAAAAUGAAGAGGAGGUAGAAAGUCAUAGAACUCGUCCAACGCAAGACAAAUGGCGUAAACUCGAGAUACCCAUUUUUCUGGGAGAGGAUGCGUAUGGGUGGGUGCAAAGGUUGGAGAGGUAUUUCGCCUUGAGAGCUGUAACAGAGGAGGAAAGGAUGCAAGCCACCACAGUGGCCCUUGAGGGCAAGGCUCUGAGUUGGUUUCAGUGGUGGGAACGUUGUAACCCAACUCCAACCUGAGACAGUUUCAAACUCGCAGUGGUAAGAAGUUUUCAACCCUCUAUGGUACAAAACCCUUUCGAAUUGCUAUUAUCCUUAAAACAAGAAGGAACCGUAGAAGCGUAUGUUGAGGAAUUUGAAAAAUACGCAGGGGCAUUGCAAGAGGUUAACAAAGACUUUGUUAGGGGUAUUUUUUUAAAUGGGUUGAAAGAAGAGAUAAGGGUGGAAGUGAAAUUGUAUGAAUUGGAAACUCUAUAUGCAAUCAUUAAAAAGGUUAUUCUUAUUGAGCAGAAAAAUAUGGUAAUGAAUAGAAAGAGUGGGGCGAGUUCAAGCAAAGCUGGAAGUUCUUACAAGGGGCAUCCUUAUAAUAGGGUGGUCUCUGUGGAAAACUCAACAACCAGCAAUAACAGAAGAGAAGGGACAGUUGGGGAAGGUACAGGGAGUAACAACAGAUCUGGUCAGGAAGCUGAGAGUUCUAGAUUCAGGGGGAACUAUAGAAGGCUCACUAGUGGGGAAAUGAAAGAGAAGAGGGAAAAGGGCCUAUGCUUCAGAUGUGAUGAACCCUUCACCAGGGGUCAUGUGUGCAAACAGAGGCAAUUGGGGAUGAUAAUCAUGGCUGAUGAAGAAGAUACUGAUGGAGGCAUGGAAGGGGGAGAGGAGCAAGAAGCCUUAAAUUCUCUACAACUCUCACUUUACUCUAUGAAGGGGCUGACUUCUACUAAAUCCUGGAAGAUGAGGGGAACUCUCAGAAAUACUCCAGUGGUAAUCAUGAUAGAUUGUGGAGCAUCCCACAACUUCAUUGCGGGGGACUUAGUGGACAGGUUGAAGUUGAAGGUAGAGAUGACUAAAACUUAUGUAGUGGAAGUGGGAGAUGGUCAUCAAGUGAGGUGCCAAGGCAAAUGUACUCAACUCAGAUUGAAUCUUGAAGACCUAGAGGUGGUCCAAGACUUUUACUUAUUUGGUCUAAAGGGGGUGGACCUAGUCUUGGGAAUUGGUUGGUUAGCAGAUCUGGGAGAAAUCAGGGCUGACUUUGGAAAGAUGAUCUUAAGUGUGAAGAAGGGGGACUCAACAAUCACAUUGGUGGGUGACCCAACAUUAACUAAAACAGAGUUGUCCUUGGGAGCCUUUAUGCAGGUUCUAUUGAAGGAGGGAGAAGGAUUGCUAGUUCAGUGUGACCCCAAACCUCAUGCCAGAAUUGAGGAAGUUGUGCCAGAGGAAAUACAGAGGGUGCUGCAACAGUAUGAAGAAGUGUUUCAGGAUCCACAGGGACUGCCACCAGCUAGGAGACAAGAUCAUGCUAUCCACCUAAAAGAGGGAGCAGAGGUGCCCAACCUCAGGCCAUAUAGGUACCCUCAUUAUCAGAAGGCAGAAAUAGAAAGGUUGGUUGCUGAAAUGAUGGAAGCUAGAGUGAUCAGAUUCAGCAUAAGCCCCUACUCAAGUCCUAUCAUAUUGGUGAAGAAAAAAGAUGGAGGAUGGAGGUUCUGUGUAGAUUAUAGGGCUCUCAAUAAGGUCACAAUCCCCAACAAAUUCCCUAUCCCUCUGGUGGAUGAAUUACUAGAUGAGAUUAAGGGGGCCAAAAUCUUUUCCAAGCUGGAUCUCAAAGCUGGAUACCAUCAAAUCAGGAUGAGGGAGGGAGAUGUAGAAAAGACUGCCUUUAGGACUCAUGAGGGGCAUUGAGUUCUUGGUCAUGCCCUUUGGGCUGACUAAUGCCCCCUCAACUUUUCAAGCCCUCAUGAAUGAAAUUUUGAGACCCUACUUGAGGAAAUUUACCCUAGUAUUCUUUGAGAUAUACUAGUGUACAAUUCUGAUUUACUCUCUCAUGUGCAACACUUACAAUCAGUCUUGGCUUUGUUGAUUCAACAUUCUCUAAAGGCAAAUCAGAAAAAAUGCAGUUUUGGCCAGCAGAGUAUUGAGUAUUUGGGGCAUGUUAUUUCUGGGAAGGGGGUGGCUGCAGAUUUAUCCAAGGUUGAGAGUAUGCAGACUUGGCCUCAACCUACUAAUAUUAAAGGCUUAAGGGGGUUUCUAGGCCUAACAGGGUAUUAUAGGAAGUUUGUCAAGGACUACGGGAAAAUGGCCAAACCACUCAUUGACUUACUCAAGAAGGACAGUUUUUCUUGGACUACAGAAACUACCCAAGCUUUUGAGAAGUUGAAGGCAGCCAUGGUAGACUUACCCCUGUUAGCAAUUCCUGACUUUACUAAAGAGUUUGUGGUGGAGACAGAGGCCUCAAGCAAGGGCUUAGGGGCUCUCCUGAUGCAGGGUGGGAGGCCCCUAACUUUAUGGAGCCAGGGUUUAUCUCCUAGGGCUCAACAAAAGUCAGUAUACGAGAGAGAACUCAUGGCUUUGGUCCAAGCCAUCCAAAAAUGGAGGCACUAUCUAUUAGGAAGGCAUUUUGUCAUCAAACCAGAUCAGCAGAGCUUGAAAUUUUUAACUGAGCAGAGGUUGUUUACAGAUGAGCAAUUUAAAUGGGCAGUGAAGUUGGUGGGUCUAGACUUUGAAAUUCAGUAUAAACCUGGGCAUGAAAACUCUGUAGCAGAUGCUCUCUCAAGGAGAUUAAUGUACUCUGCUAUAUCUCUACUAACUAGUGAAGAAGUGGACAAUUGGAAUCAGGAAUUGCAGCAAGACUCCAAGUGGUUAAAGGUCAUUCAAGAUCUGGUUGUUUCUCCUAGUUCUCAUCCUGGCUUUGAAUUGAAGAAGGGGAUACUCUAUUAUAAGGGGAGGUUGGUUCUAUCAAAGACAUCCAACCGAAUUCCUAUUAUUGUGGCUGAAUCUCAUGAGACACCAAUGGGGGGACAUUCUGGAAUUUUCAGAACCUACAAAAAGAUUGCUAGUUUUCUGUUUUGGGAGGGAAUGAAGUCAAAUAUCAAGAGUUUUGUAGAAGAUUGUGCAGUUUGCCAGAGAAACAAAUAUUCCACAUUGGCUCCAGCAGGUUUGAUCCUACCCUUACCUAUCCCUCAACAGGUUUGGAUGGAUAUAGCUAUGGCCUUCAUAGGAGGGUUGCCUAAGGUGAAGGGCAAGGGCACUAUUUUUGUGGUGGUGGAUAGGUUAUCUAAGUAUGUUCACAUCUUUCCUUUGGGACAUCCUUAUUCAUCCAAAGAAGUGGCCUUCGUUUUCUUAAAAGAGGUAGUCAGAUUACAUGGAUUCCCUUCAUCCAUAGUGUCUGAUAUAGACCCCUUAUUGUUAAGCCAGUUUUGGAAAGAAUUAUUCAGAUUGGCUGGCACCAAGCUGAAACUUAGCACUUCUUACCACCCACAGACAGAUGGACAGACUGAAGUGGCUAAUAGGUGCCUAGAAACCUAUCUCAGAUGCUUUGUAAGUCCUAGGCCUAGGCAGCGGGUUGAAUGGUUACAUUGGGCUGAGUUUUGGUUUAACACAAAUUACAAUAGCUCUGCUGGAAUGACACCUUUCAAGGCCCUAUAUGGGAGGGAAGCUCCUACACUGCUUAAGGCAGGGGCUAUUCCAUCUAGAGUGGAGGAGGUGAAUCAAUUGUUUGAUCAAAGGGACAGGAUUCUAGAGGAAUUGAAGCAGAAUCUAGUAAGGGCCCAAAACAUCAUGAAGCAGCAAGCUGACAGGCAUAGAAGAUUUGUAGAAUUUGCAGAGGGGGAUUGGGUGUAUCUUAAACUACAGUCUUACAAGCUCAAAUCAUUGGCUAGCAGACCCUAUGCUAAGUUAGCUCCAAGGUUUUAUGGUCCCUAUCAAGUGAUCAGUAGAGUGGGGGAUGUUGCUUAUAAGCUGGCAUUGCCAAGUCAUGCAAGGAUUCACCCUGUGUUCCAUGUGUCUCUCUUGAAGAAGGCUUUAAAACCCAACCAACAGCCUCAACCUCUGCCUUCCAUGAUGAAUGAAGAGAUAGAAUUGGAGGUCAAUCCAGAAGGAGUUCUCAACAGUAGAGAAGAUGAGCAAGGAAAUGUGAAGUGUUGGUUAAAUGGCAAGAUCUCCCAAUUCAUGACAGCACUUGGGAAGAAGCAGUUGUGUUACAAGAGAGAUUUCCCAAUUUCCAACUUGAGGACAAGUUCGUUCUCUUAGGGGAGGGUAUUGAUAAGGCUAGGGCUAUUCCUAAGCCUUAUAUUAAGCACGUGUAUACAAGGGGUAAGAGAAAUGUAGUUAAAUGGUAGUUGGUAACCACUUUCUCUUUGUAACAGUUAGUUAGUUAGUUAACUGUAAUGAUUAGCUAUAAAAGGGGUAGUGGUAGUUAUUGGAAGAUAGGAAAAAGUCAGUAAAGGGCACUGGUUGUGGAACCAGAGGGGAUCGUGGGAUCUAAAGUGUAAUCUUGCAACUAUUUCUGCAGUAUCAACUGCUACCUAAUAAACAAGUUAGAACCCUACCACAAAUCACUCAGAUUGUGGGUUAGGGGCUUUUCUUUUCAUCUAUUCUUCUAUUUUUCUUACAAUUGAUACCAGUGUCUAUCACAGGAUCCUCAACUAUAGUGAUGUUUGUUCCCCCUUUUUGAUAGAUAGUUUCGUUCUACCAAAAUCAGCCCUUACCUUCCCUAAGCUAGCCAACCAUUCCAAGCCUAAAACCAUGUCCACCCCUCUUAAUUCAAACAGAUAAAAGUCUUGAAUUACCUCAAGUUUCUGCAUGAAAAGUCUGAGCUGGGAACACUUGCCCUGGCACUAUAUGUGAUGUCCAUCCCCUAGUUCCACCACAUAAGUUAUGGUUCCCUCCACCUUAAGUUGUAAGUCAUCCACCAAGUCCCUUGAGAUGAAAUUGUGGGAAGCUCCACAUUCUAUUAUAACAACUACUGGUUUUUCUCUCAAGGUUUCUCCUAUCUCCCAAGAUCUUGAAGAAGUAAGCCCCUUCAUUGAAUACAAGGACAGUUGUAAUGAAUUGAAGGCUUGCACCUCUAUUCCUGCUUCAUUCCCCUCUUCAACUUCUUCUUCUUCAGCUUCUUCCUCAUCAGCCAUAAGAAGCAUAUGCAACUGCUUAUUUCUGCACCUAUGAUCUCUAGAAAAGGGCUCAUCACACCUAAAGCAAAGCCCCUUCUCCCUCUUCUCCUUCAUCUUAGCACUAGUCAAUCUUCUAUAGUCACCACCAAUCUUAGAACUACCCAUGUCAUGAUUGUUCUUGAGGGGUGCAACCACACUCCCUAUAGAGGAACCUUCCUUCCUAUAGCUAUUAGUUGUAGAGGGCUCUAGUGUGACCACCUUACUAUAAGAAUUAGUUCUGGUUGAGCCAAAAGAUCUUGAAUACCCAGAUUGAGUCCUUCUGUUCACCACCAUGUUCCUCUGCUCAAUCAAAAUUGCUUUCUAAAUCAACUCUGGUAGAGUCUUUAAUUCAUACAACCUUACUUCCACCCGUAUCUCUUCCUUGAUUCCAUUCAAGAAUCCCCCCUAACAAAGUCCUGAUUGAUUCCUCUUAAGGCCCCUGCAAAAUUUUCAAACUCCUCUACAUAUGCUUCUACUCCCCCUUCUUGCUUUAGGGAUAGGAGUAAUUCAAAGGGGUUUUGAGCCAUGGUUGGCUGGAACCUUCUUACUACAACCAAUUUGAAACUCUCCCAGGUAGGGUAGAGAUUACAACCUUCCCACCAUUGAUACCAACUAAGGGCUUUCCCCUCCAAAGCCACCAUCGUAGCUCUCAUUUUUUCAGUUUCAGAAAUAGAACGUAGAGAGAAAUACUUCUCAAGCUUCUACACCCAACCAUACACAUCCUCUCCUAUGAAGAUAGGUAUCUCCAAUUUCCUCCACCUGUCAUGGCCAGGACCUCGAUUGUGGCUAUCUAACUCUUCUUCGUUUUCGCUGCCCUCCCCAAAUGAAUGCUCCUCUGGAGUAACUCCCAAUUUCGUUGCUAUGGCAGUCAUCAAAUCUUCAAGUUUAUUGGUGUGUGCCUCAUUUAAUUCCAUCCUCAUGCUUAUCUCUUCUAUUUCUUGACGCAAUUCCUCCUUCCCUUGCGUUCCACUAUCAUUCUCCUUGGUCAUACUUCGAGUAGAAACCAUACGAUGAAACCCAAACGCAUCGUUGGUGGUUACAAUGCACAGGCACCAGAAUGGUGCUCUGAUACCAGUGAUAGACACUGGUAUCUAGGUAAGAAGAAUUAGAACAGAAAUGAAAGAAAUGCCCCUAACCCACAAUCAAUUGGAUUUGUGGUAGGGUUCUAAAGAUUUUAUUGAGAGAAGAAGAGAAUUACAAGAUAGUUUGAGUGAGGUUACAAGAUUGAGAAUCCCACGAUUCCUCCCCUAAACUGAUUCCUCAAUCAGUUACUCAAAAUCAAUCCCCCUCCCUUCUUAGGCUUAGCUUCUAUUUAUAGCCCUCUAACCAACUUAACUACCAAGGGAGAGGAGGGAAAGUUUGUUAUUUAACAACCAAACUUUCCUCUUUCCCCUUUUAUACACAUGUUUUAAUUCAGGCUUCUUAUUGCCCUUAUCAUGCACUCUAAGGAACAAAGUGCAGAUUUGAAAAUCUAGAUUUAUAAUUCAUUGAAUUAUAUUGUUAAACAUUAAUAGAGAAAAAUUUCUUUUAAAGAACAAAUUAAAUAGAAGUAAAAGAUAGGUAGAAAAGGUGUAAAUGUGCUAACAAGUGAGUCGUCAGUAAACAUAGAAGUUAACUAGGAGUACUGAGACUGAUAUCACAACUUUGAAGUUACCCAUAUUUACAUAGCCAAGUUGGGUGCUUCAAAAUACUUAUCAACUCUAUGUACAUUGUAUAUUUGGUCUGAGUCUGGCAUAGAUAAUGCCAGCAUAAAUCUAUUUACAUCGCUGCUCUCUUAGCCAGAAUUUAAGCUACCAAGCUCUCUUCCCUUGUGAUGAUUAAUAGCUAGAACUUCCUGCAUUGUUUCCAUUUGAGCUUCUAACUGUUCUUCCAUCUGAUAUUAAAAUUGUACAAGUGAAUUUAAGUCAGUUUAAAAUUUAAGAAAUUGCAUGCCCAACUAGUAAGCAUGCAGCAAUCAUGUUGUCUUAAGGUAUAUACUCAACCGUUGUAUUGAAUUCUUUUCUUAAAUAUUUACUGAAAGCAAAUAAUAGCCUUCCAUCAUGGAUGAAUUGUAUCUGAUGGAAUCAACACAAUCAUGGUUCUUUCAUGCAACAGAAAAUUUAUAAGCCGGAAAAAAUGUUUGUUUUCAAUUUUGGCCAUUAAUUAAAGUCCUAGUUAGACAACUUGUUAUGCAGCUUAGAGGCAAAAUACAAGCAUUCAAGAUACUGACAUCAGAUGCUAAGGUAUUGUUGCUGGAACCAUUAUACCUAUGUAAAAAAAGUACAUUGUCUAGUCUCCUAUGUUUUGUAUAGUAACUAAAAUUUAUCUCAGACAUUCCAAGACUUUAUGCUUCGCUUAUCUUGCCUGUUGCUGCCUUGCCAUACAAAAGCAUCAUAAAUACUCAGG